UAUAUAUUACAUGUAUAUAUAUGCUUGUCAAGGUAAAUUCCGUGUGUCUCACUACCAGGUUGCCUAGUUCCUUAAAAUCCUUUCCGUACUUACUUAUUUCAUCACUCGGUUUGUUGAAGGCUGACAUAAGACUUCCCUCUGUUAUUGUGUGUGACCAAAUUAUUUCAUAUGCUUUAAUAUUUUCUAUUCAGAAAAAAUACCCAUGUGUGUGAUAUUUCUAAUGUUUUCCAUAUUAAAUUCUAGAUUGAUUAAUGUUGAUAUCACCGUUCUUUCUUUCCUGUGUGUUUUCUUGGCAUUCCUGUGUUCCCCCGAUCCGUCCCAUUUUGUGUAACACAGAAUGUAUUUAGAACUGAGACCCUUCCAACCUCUUUGCCUUGUAGCCGAAAUAAUGAAACCAGCUACCCUUAGGUAAUAAUGUGCAUGCUUGACCUCACUUUUAUCACCCUGUCUCGAACUUCCUGUUUUUACCUCUCCUUUCUAAUUUUCUUACUUAGUUUUUUAAUUUAAUUUUUUCCCCUGAGCAUGCAUGAGCUGUUUUAACUAAAGUGAAGAAUAGAGUUUCUGUGUUUCAGCAUUUUUCCUUCUGUCCCCCCUUUCCUGUCCUGAGGAAAAUCUAUAUUGCCACCUUAGUGUGCCCACUACGGCCACAUGUUUCCAGUCUCCCUAUCUCAUGUCUCCAGAUGUCUUCUCAACAUCAUGCUCAUUUUAAAUUUUUUGUGCUGUUUCCCCCUUUGGGCUUCCAGGCACGGCUCUGCACGUGAGCUUAGCCAAAAGGCUGAAAGGUCUUCAUUCUGCAAACGUGACGAACGCAGUGGUUUUCAGCACGUGGGUCACGACCCCUCAGGGGUUAAAUGACUCUCACAGAGGUGCUUAAGACCAUCGGAAAACACAGAUAUUUACACUAUGAUCCGCAACAGCAGCAACAUCGCAGUUAAGGAGUAGCAAUAAUAAUCUUACGGUCGGGGUCAGCACACCAUGAGAAACUGUAUUAAAGGGGCACAGCAUGAGGAAGGCUGAGAACCAUGGCUCUAAAGGGAUGCCUGCCUGAACCUCUCUCGACAGUUCAGCCCUGAGCUGAGCUUCUCGUCUGCUCACACAUUCUGCUGCUAUUCUUCAGAGCCCUCCCUCAUGAAGCCACCACACCCCCAGGCACAGAUACAGAAGCCAGGGAGUGACCCUGGGCUCCCUUGCCCUGCUUCCCACCCCUCCCUUAAGCCUUCUCUCCUGAUUCUCCACUCCUGCAGCCUUUGCUCAGCCCUCUCAUCACCCUGAUUUCCCCUCAGAGCCCCUGUGUGGGCCAUAUUAUAUGUAUAAUGGCCGUAUUAUUCCCCACGUAAUAGUUUCUCAGGGUCCCUUACAUUGUACAUGAAAAACCUACACUCUUUUAUGCAGCAGACAAGACCCUCUGUAGUUGGGCUGCUGCUCACGUUUCCAGACACAGCUCCUAUCACUUUCUCAUGCAGACUUCGCUUCAGUAACUGAGCUGUGUCCCAGGAACGGCCUCUGAGACUUUGCUCAUGCCAUUCCCUCUCAUUCUUUACGACUUUUGGCUCAAGUUCUCCAGAUCGUUAUCUGGCUUCUUUGAUCUACUAACUUCUCAGUUUGUGGAUUUACCUCUGACUUUCAUCUAAGAUUAGCACUGUUUUGUUUCUGGCUCUGUUACACAUCCUUGCUAGAAAACACUUGACCUCCCUUAGAAACUGGUUCUGUGUGGAGCACACAGUGGGUGCUCAGUGACCUUCCUUAGAAACUGGUCCUGUGUGGAGCACACAGUGGGUGCUCAGUGACCUUCCUUAGAAACUGGUUCUGUGUGGAGCACACAGUGGGUGCUCAGUGACCUUCCUUAGAAACUGGUCCUGUGUGGAGCACACAGUGGGUGCUCAGUGACCUUCCUUAGAAACUGGUCCUGUGUGGAGCACACAGUGGGUGCUCAGUGACCUUCCUUAGAAACUGGUCCUGUGUGGAGCACACAGUGGGUACCCAGUACACAUGUGGGUUCAUGACUCAGUGUCUGUUCAGGAAUGUACUUGCUGUGAUGGAAUGAUUUAGGUGUUUGGGGCAGCAAGUUAAUUUGAACAGAGCAGGAGCACAUGGCUGUUGGCUUCCUAGUAGUUAAGAAACAGCGCCUUGUGACUAUUCAAAGUCAGCUAGGUGCACGGCACUAGAAAAGGGAAGAGACUGUACUUCUAACAGUGAUGACCUGGACUCAGAUUCUUGGGUUCAUGGACAUCGUUGCUGAUGAAACUUUAGCAUGGGGGUGGUCUGGACAGCAGCACCUGCCUUGGCUCUUCAAGAUUCUGGAAAGAGCAUCUGCCAUCACAGAAGACGUGGAGAGAUAUUUUUCUAGCUCAACCACUUUAAUUAGAGGUGAGGCCACUGUGGCAUUUGUUCUGUUGCCCCAGAGCUGAGAGGGACAGAUGUGCAGUGGGCAAUGAAAACAUUCAGCAACUCAAUACCUGAGGAUCGAAGUGGGCUGCUAGGCCGUGGCUGCUGGGAACUUCCACAGCAGAUGGGCCAUGAGGAAAUGAAAAGUCAUUUCCUGCGUGGACAGCCACACUGACAAUGACACUGCUAGGCACCAGAACACCACCUCCACCACACAGAGCACACAGAAAGGAAGACCGUGUACGCCAUGCAUCUCAGUACUUGGGAGGCUGAGGCAGAAGCACUGUGUGGAUUGCGGCCAAUUCUUAAAGGAGAAGUAGAUAUUUUGACAUGAACCCAAACAUUCAGAAGAGAAGGUUAGAAGAAGGAAGUCCACCCUGGAGAGGCCCUGCUCAGAGGAGAGAUGGUGACUCCUCCCUGCUGUGAGCUCCAGGCCAGGCUCACCUUGGGUAGGUGGAGAGCUCUCACCACUUUGAUUGGUUUGCUUAUUAAUGUUUCAGUAUGGUCUUUCACUAAACACAGCCUUGAACUUGUAAUCCCUCUGCUUCAGUCUCUCAAGUAGUUAGGACAUCAGGCAUGUGCCCCUACUCUGGGCCUGGGUUCCUUGUUGAGAUAAUGACUUGAGACACUUUCUCGUCUCCUUCUCCAAUCUCGCUUUCAAUAACCUAGAAGCUUUUAGAUAUGCCACAAAUUAAUACGUAUCUCUUGUCAUGACUGAACAGCACUCUAGGAUGCUAAAGCAACACAUGGUUCAAAUAACUACAGCACAGUUUUUAAUCUAUCCACAAUCAUACAAGGGGCCACCACCAGCACUGACGCCAUCCCCAUUGAUGGCAUCACGUCCAUCGCUAGCCUUACUGCCACCAUCACCACCACCUUCAGAAUAUGAGUCCUUUAAUGAGAAAGUAACUUGGAAACAUUCCUUAACUUGGGGGGGGGUUGUGUGCUGGUGUUAAUCCCAGAAAAUAUUCUGAAAUAGGAUUUGGAAACAACUUUGAGGACUAAAGUUGUGAUCUCGAAGAGGUGACGUGAGCUCACUAAAAGUGCUUUACCCCAAGCCAAUGGUGUUGCUUCUUUAACAGGGAUAUUGAACAUCAGACCAAAGGAAUAUCAUUGAUAGCGAAUCAGGACCUUCCCAAGAUGUUUGACAAGCUUUGGUUGACGAUCUCUUGGAAAGGAGUACAGUGAAGCCAAGAGGGCUACGAGUCAUGUCAACAUCACCGCGCACAUCGAUACGUAGGCAACACAUGUAGCCUUUGAAAAUCCCAUCUCUCCUACCAGCCUUGCAAACACAGGCAAAGCUACUCAAACUGUCUGAGGUUCACCGUCCUUGCCCGAGAGAUGGGGUUAUUAAUAUCAGGCUCCUAGUGAUGACGUGGAUAUGUGAACCCGUUGUCUCUGAUGUCUAUUGUCAUCGGUCCCGUCCAGAAGGACAUUUCUGACAAUCUUGACCCAGUGGCAGUAGAUUGGUGAUCAUUUCUCCUCAGCAGGCCUACAUGGUCGGGAUCGAUCUAGCUAAGCAGAAAGGGGCUCUGAUGGAUGGGUAAGGUUGUGAUUUUCCUUCUUUUCCUGUGCAUGACAUUGGGCUGUCUCCUACAGGACAAAUAGAACACUUCUAAAACAAACAAAUACACAUGCGCAAGAAAAAAGAGAAAGAAAAAAAAAGUAAAAGUAGAAAACUAGAGAUGAUGACGUGGGGCUGAGGGUAGGGCACCGGAGGCAGCAGUGGCAGAGGCACAGGGACCCGUGGGACCUUCUCUUUCCAUGACGCGGGUGUCUGCGUGGGGUGGUGGCGGCCGUGAUGUUAUUUCAGCAGAAUGACUUUUGUCCGUUUCACACCACAUUUAGAGUCACCAGGAGUUUACUCUCAUCUGUAAAAUAUGUGGAGUUCACCCGUUUCCACAGCCAAGAAUUCCCUUCUGCCAGUGGGCAGUGGAGGUCCCUGGGUGGAACCGCAGCCAAGAAAAGCUUUCUGCAAAGGGCAGAGGAGCAGGGGGCUGGGUGUCUAGGCAUCUGGGGAGGAAGCUGCAGAUGUGACUGUUGCAAAGCACUGAAGGACCCGGGUGGUUAAUUCAUCCCCGGCUACUAGCAGGCAGGGUGAUGAAACCAAGAAGAGACAGAGGCCCUGAGAACUCUUACACUUCCUUCCCCACUCGAUAAGGGCGAAGCAGAUGAAUGGAUGGAUGCUGGUACUCUGUGCUCAUACGUCAGCCGUCAGCCACGAUCCACUCUUUAAUCCACCUUCCCUGGGGAGCUUCUCAGAGCUACCCUCAGCCAGGCCGACACACUUGGUGUGAGCGCGUUCUGCGACACAUGCGCCAGACUCAUUCUAGAGAAGGCCGACUUGAAGGAGAACCCAGAUGGGGAAGUCAUGGUUGCAGCAGGAGCUGGGACAACAUGGAGCUGUUCUGUCCUUUACAGUAAGGAAAUAAUAAGGUUGAUGGGACACAUGGGGAAGGCGGGCAGAAGUAGAGUGAAGCGAUCCAACUUGGCAUGCCGGGGAAGUUAUUAUAUAACAAUAAGAAACUCUGCAAAGGGUGCCAAGCGAGAAUUUGGAGAACAGAAGUGCUUAUAAAGAUUGGUAAAUAUGAAGGUGCUUGUUCCUAUAAAAUACACCAUUUAUGAAGUCAAAAGUGUUCGCCAAACGGGUUUGUGAAUAGACUCCUUUGGGGGAUUCAGUGGUGGUGCAGAGCUAAGCAUCUAAGCACACACAGGGUAAGCACACAAAGCCUUGCUGACAGGGGCGAAGAAAUGUCGGGUUGAGUUCCAUUCCAGUGACAUGCGGGAAAAGUGUCCUGAUGAAGGUCAGAGCAAUGUGGAAGGCACAAGUAAAACAAAACGUGGAGGGGGCAGGUUGGGCAUGCGAUUGGAAAGAUGAGUGGUGUUUGCCUCAAAGGCCAGGAGAAAAUGGACACUUUUAUAAAAGGUUGAGAGGAGAGGUGUGGGAGAGAGCCUCCAAGUACUCUACAUACCCUGCUUGGGGUGGAGACACAGUGAGGUAAACUCUUUUUUUUCUCUUUGCAUGUGCAUGUUGUGUGUGUGUGUG
rnacentral:sRNA from 1 species